rnacentral:rRNA from 1 species
ACUACGGGGGGCACACACUAGGGAAUCUUCCGCAAUGGACGAAAGUCUGCCGGAGCAACGCCGCGUGAGUGAUGAAGGCUUUCGGGUCGUAAAACUCUGUUGUUAGGGAAGAACAAGUGCUAGUUGAAUAAGCUGGCACCUUGACGGUACCUAACCCAGAAACCCACGCUAUAC